GGGGGCGUAGCUCAGCUGGUUAGAGCGUCUGCCUGUCACGCAGAAGGUCACGGGUUCGAGUCCCGCCGUCCCCGCCA
rnacentral:tRNA from 2 species